UCGAACAAGGCAAUAUGCAUACCAGAACACAAGUUCAACAAAUAUACCACCAGUACUGAUCUUUCCCACUUGCCACUUACUCAGCAAGACAAUGAGAACUGAGUACGCAGCAAUUUGCAUUGUCCUGGUGAUUAUGCCUUCAACCCUCUCAUCCAGCUAUAUUCCUAGUAAGUAUGUAAUUUCUUUUGUACUUACAAAAAUUGCACCCAUUCAUGGUUUAUAAAAUCAAGUUGUGGAUGCAUACAGUUGAGGCGUUUAUCCAUCUACCUGGAUGCACUCCGGAGCAUUGCCAAACAAAAUGCUUGGAGUUUGCCAAUAAGAAUGGCGGCAAAGUGGUAAAGAGCUCCCACUGUGCGACGGCAAAUUGUUGCAAUUGCAAGUUAGCUCCCAAACAGCAUCAGCCCCAUACCACAGAAGUCAAGGGAUUAGCUGAUGCAGAGGACGACAAUGGAACUUUUGUUUCAUAAUAUAUGACCCAACGAUGAAUAGGGUUGUUACAUGAAGGCAGACAAUAGCAUACUGCUAGUUCUUGCAUGUAAUUUAUCCAUGACCUAUUUCCUUCAAGGUCUAAUAAAAUAAUUGCACAUCAUGCAAAAUCGUUUGCUCAUG
rnacentral:lncRNA from 1 species